UCACCAGACAGAGAGGUAGCUAAGGGGACUAGUUGAGACACUCUUAGAACAACAGCCACUUUUGUGGGAGCCCAAGAACAGCAGCUUUAAAACGGGGUAAAUAUUCAGGCAUCAUUAGGAUCCUGAAUACAAGCGAGCCAGUAAAAUAUGGGAUCUACUCAGAAAGGCACAAUCUAUCAGAUGGUCAAGACAAAUAAACCUGGGGCCAAGGUAGCAGUUUCAGCACAGAGAGGGUCUGAGGUUACUACUAACACAUCCCCUCAGCGGGGACAUGGGUACAUUCUUGCCUCAAGCCAUCGAAGUGCUGCAGUCUCCCUGAACCCUUCCCACCGAAGAUCAGAAGCUGCACAUCCCACCACUCCCCAUUCGGCAUCAGACUAUCCUCAAUCUGUCUCCCUCCAGUCAGGGCCUGGACACUAUGUGGUACCCACUCCUCGGGUAACCGAGACUGGACCAAGAACAGAAUCAUCCCGCCAUUCCUCUCCUCCUAGAAAGAACCAGCAAACUCAGACACUGGCUUCCCAUGCUUCAAGCAGACUACGGAAUGUUAGUCCACCUGGAGAGGAAGCAGCACGAAGAGGCGGUGAGAGCAAGUCAGGGCGCGAGGUCGGCCAUCAUGCCUCAUCAAUCCCAGAUGCCAAAUCUACUCGUCGGUUGAGUUUUCAAGAUCAGAAGGAUAACUUACAAUCACAAAUCUUACAAGAUGACCCACCAUCCAAGGUCCAGAACCCCCAAGGAGUCAGAGUUCCCCGUAGGAUUUUGACUUACCCAAAGGAUGAAGCAGUACAAACUGAGCCCAUCCAAAGGAUUACAACUGCUAGCGAGAUCAGAUCUCCAAGGAGUCCCUCUCGCCCAGAGCACAGAAGCAGCUGUGUCUCUGCAGACUAUCAGACAGCCCAGAGAAAGGUACCUGUAGAAGAAUCAGAAACAGGUCCUUACAGUUCAAUUCCUUCAAAACCCAAGGCCUUGUAUAGGAAUAUGAACUUGGACUCAUCACUCAAACUCUCUGUCCUUAAAGAUUCUGAUGGUGUACACCGAGUUUCUACACGGGUAGACCCUGAGUCUCUUCACAAGUAUUCUGUCUAUCCUGAAACCAAGCCCUCCGCAAAGGUCUUAAUAUCAUCACAGGUGGAGUCCAAUGUGAGGGCCCCAAUCCGAGGAAACAACGAGGUUGGCCGCAGGGUCACCAUCUCCCCAGGGGUACAGUCAGUAGAGCCAACUCACCGUGUGACAGCUCAAUCAGUGUCUGAGGGCUCCCACAAGUCAUCCAUGUUUGUCACUCCAGAGCCCAUCUAUAAACAGCAAACCCCAAAACCCCCAGAAACUACCUACAUGUCCCAAGGACCUACACCCAGGUAUCCAGAACUCUCGCAAAAGCCCUCCAUCCAUGCAGAACUGGAACUGACCCCUCGGCCCUUGCCUCCUCGGUCCUUACCUAGGUACGGACCUGACUCCUCAUGGUGGCCCUUGCUGAAUCCUGAAGUUGAAACACCCCAAAGCCAGCCGACAACACCUGAUUUUGAGCUUAAGUGUUCUCCUUCCCUAGAUCCUUUAUUGUCCGGUUUUAAAAUAGACUCUAGCCCUUUCUGUGAGGAUCUGAAGUUCCAGAGAGAGAAGGCAAGCCUAUCACCACCGUCACCACCAAAGGAGUUUCCAAGUUGGGCACCACUGAAUAAAGUGCCACAGACCCCCAAGCACACCUGCAAACAACCCAUUCAAAGGUUUAGUGCUUUCUUCCUGGAUGUCUCAGAGGAAAUGUACAAUCGUGUCAUCUGGUGGCUGAAAGAUGAGGAGAUCAAGCGUUUCCUGGAGGACACCACGGAUGAUGGAGAACUGAGCAAGUUCGUGAAGGAUUUCUCAGGAAAUGAGAGCUGCCACCCACCAGAGGCUAAGACUUGGGCAUCCAGGCCCCAAGUCCUGGAGCCAAGGCCCCAGGCCCCAGACCUCUAUGAUGAUGACCUGGAGUUCAGACCCCCUUCGUGGCCCCAGUCCGCUGACAACCAGCAGUACUUCUGUGCCCCAGCCCCUCUCAGCCCAUCUGCCAGGCCCCGCAGCCCAUGGGGCAAGCUUGAUCCCUAUGAUUCCUCUGAGGAUGACAAGGAGUAUGUGGGCUUUGCAACCCUCCCCAACCAAGUCCACCGAAAGUCCGUGAAGAAAGGCUUUGACUUUACCCUCAUGGUGGCAGGAGAGUCUGGCCUGGGCAAAUCCACACUUGUCAAUAGCCUCUUCCUCACUGAUCUGUACCGGGACCGGAAACUCCUUGGUGCUGAAGAGCGGAUCAUGCAAACCGUGGAGAUCACUAAGCAUGCAGUGGACAUAGAAGAGAAGGGUGUGAGGCUGCGGCUCACCAUUGUGGACACACCAGGUUUUGGGGAUGCAGUCAACAACACAGAGUGCUGGAAGCCUGUGGCAGAAUACAUUGAUCAGCAGUUUGAGCAGUAUUUCCGAGAUGAGAGUGGCCUGAACCGAAAGAACAUCCAAGACAACAGGGUGCACUGCUGCCUGUACUUCAUCUCACCCUUCGGCCACGGGCUCCGGCCAUUGGAUGUUGAAUUCAUGAAGGCCCUGCAUCAGCGGGUCAACAUCGUGCCUAUCCUGGCUAAGGCAGACACACUGACACCUCCAGAAGUGGACCGAAAGAAACGCAAAAUCCGGGAGGAGAUUGAGCAUUUUGGAAUCAAGAUCUAUCAGUUCCCAGACUGUGACUCUGACGAGGAUGAGGACUUCAAAUUGCAGGACCAAGCCCUAAAGGAAAGCAUCCCAUUUGCAGUAAUUGGCAGCAACACUGUAGUAGAGGCCAGAGGGCGGCGAGUUCGGGGUCGACUCUACCCCUGGGGCAUCGUGGAAGUGGAAAACCCAGGGCACUGCGACUUUGUGAAGCUGAGGACAAUGCUGGUACGUACCCACAUGCAGGACCUGAAGGAUGUGACGCGGGAGACACAUUAUGAGAACUACCGGGCACAGUGCAUCCAGAGCAUGACCCGCCUGGUGGUAAAGGAACGCAAUCGCAAGUAUGACCAGAAGCCAGGACAAAGCUGGCAGGGGGAGAUCCCAAGCCUAGCCUUGGGUGAGACCAAGCCCUACUUUUGUUCUUCUAUAGGCCCUGGGCUUAAUCUAAGUGGGUGCUGGAGUCCUCCUAGCCUUAUCAACCCUUUUCUCCCCUUAGCAAACUGACUCGAGAGAGUGGUACCGACUUCCCCAUCCCUGCUGUCCCACCAGGGACAGAUCCAGAAACUGAGAAGCUUAUCCGAGAGAAAGAUGAGGAGCUGCGGCGGAUGCAGGAGAUGCUACACAAAAUACAAAAACAGAUGAAGGAGACCUAUUAACUGGCUUUCAGCCCUGGAUAUUUAAAUCUCCUCCUGUUCUUCCUGUCCAUGCCAGCCCCUCCCAGCACCAGCUCUGCUCAGGCCCCUUCAGCUACUGCCACUUCGCCUUACAUCCCUGCUGACUGCCCAGAGACUCAGAGGAAAUAAAGUUUAAUAAAUCUGUAGGUGGC